rnacentral:lncRNA from 1 species
UGUGGUUCUUACGAUCUAAACACCAUGAUAUGGAGAACGCUCUGAUUGGCUUAUUUAUUUUUCAUUUUUGUUAUCUAUCAUACGAUUGGUUGUAUUUGUGCAUUUUUAAAACCGGAAGUCUUAUCUAUGACUAAAAGUCAGUCCGAUGACGGAAUCAUAUCCGGACUCCUGUUUUGUCGUUUUUCUCCCAAAAUAACUCAAUCUGAUUAAUCAUAAGAAUGGAUGACAAAUGCGACUAUGCAUGUUACCUAUAGGACACAGAGGCAUGAUGAUUGAUUUAUUGUGGAAGGAAGAGAAGC